CUGUUACCACGGCACAGCCCGUCGAAAGGCGGAUUAAUGCCGUAUGUGGUCCUUUGCGGGCAUCUAAUUAGGACUAAAGGUUCGGCGGUAACGGAUGGGGAUGCGUCCGAUUAGCUAGACGGCGGGGUAACGGCCCACCGUGGCGACGAUCGGUAGGGGUUCUGAGAGGAAGGUCCCCCACACUGGAACUGAGACACGGUCCAGACUCCUACGGGAGGCAGCAGUGAGGAAUAUUGGUCAAUGGGCGCAAGCCUGAACCAGCCAAGUAGCGUGAGGGAAGACUGCCCUAUGGGUUGUAAACCUCUUUUGUGCGGGGAUAAAGUGUGGGACGUGUCCCAUAUUGCAGGUACCGCACGAAUAAGGACCGGCUAAUUCCGUGCCAGCAGCCGCGGUAAUACGGAAGGUCCGGGCGUUAUCCGGAUUUAUUGGGUUUAAAGGGAGCGCAGGCCGUCCUUUAAGCGUGCUGUGAAAUGCCGCGGCUCAACCGUGGCACUGCAGCGCGAACUGGAGGACUUGAGUACGCACGAGGUAUGCGGAAUUCGUGGUGUAGCGGUGAAAUGCUUAGAUAUCACGAAGAAGUCCGAUUG
rnacentral:rRNA from 1 species